AACGAACGCUGGCGGCAGGCCUAACACAUGCAAGUCGAGCGCUUCCUUCGGGAAGAGCGGCGGACGGGUUAGUAACGCGUGGGAACGUGCCUCUCUCUACGGAAUAGCCAUUGGAAACGAUGAAUAAUACCGUAUACGCCCUUCGGGGAAAGAUUUAUCGGAGAGAGAUCGGCCCGCGUUAAGAUUAGUUAGUGGUGGGGUAACGGCUUACCAAGACGACGAUCUAUAGCUGGUUUGAGAGGAUGAUCAGCAACACUGGGACUGAGACACGGCCCAGACUCCUACGGGAGGCAGCAGUGGGGAAUCUUAGACAAUGGGGCAACCUGAUCUAGCCAUGCCGCGUGAGUGAA
rnacentral:rRNA from 1 species